CUAAGCACUAAAAUCAUAGGAUUAAAACUUAAAGAACAUGGCGGCCGUAAAAAUGUUCAGGGGAACUUACCAGAUAAUAGAUAAUCCACAAGGCAUUUAACUUAACUUGAUAGUUUGCAUACCGCCGUUUUCAGGUCCCACUUGUGGUGGUGCCAAAAAGCUAAAAGCAAAAAUACAGGUCAUGGCGCAGCUUAUAGUUAAGGCUUUAAGGUGAGUUACAAUAAAGUAUUUAUUUCGGAUUAAGAGUUAAACUUCUUAUGAAGGUGGACUUGAAAGUAAUUUUUAUAAAAAAGAAGUAUAAAUUGAAUCAAGUUUUUUAUGGUGC
rnacentral:rRNA from 1 species